rnacentral:lncRNA from 1 species
UAGGCUUCCCAAUAGAACAGUAGAUCAUCCUUACCAAGGUUAGAACGAGACUACGGUUGCAGUCUUCUCUAUACAUCACUCACAUUGAGAAACAUUCUUUGUAGCCUAAAGGGGUAGUAGCAAUAGAUUUGGUUAGUCAGAUGCACCCUUUCUCCCAGUGGUAAAAAUAUAAAUACGAUAACUCUGGAUAAUCUCCCGGGUGAAAUGCUCACCGAUAUCCGUGCGCUUGCGGUUCAUUUCCUUAUUGCGUUACCAAAUAUCAACAAGCAUUUCUGGCGCCGUUGCCGGGGAGAAAGACGGUUUGCUGAGAUAACUUUGAAUCUUGCUAUUAUCUUGUAUUAUAGUUUUAUACUUUUAUUCUUUUAUAUUUUUUUUUAUCUUUGUGGAUAACUUAAAUUCCAUACCUAUUAUUGAAUUUCUUGCACCUUCGGAGACCAGCAAUAGACCAUGGGAGUCAACAAGUCCUUGGAGAUUGGAGACAAAGAUAACAUUAAUGAGCAUGGAAUUUAUUUCAUAGCCACUUUGUUUACUCCAUGCUCAUAUGCAACAUCUUCCCAAUCUUUUGGUCUCUCCAACAUCACCACAUUUGAGAUCUCCAAUCCCCUCUUCUUUUCUAUUUAUAAAAACUUUAAAAGAGCGGUUGUCAAUGCAUAUGUCUAUAAUAAAUAUUGCACAUCUCGUUGAGUUGAUUGAUGGUUUCCCAAGGACAAGCUUAGUGUCCUAAAACAAGCACUAAUCAGAUCGUAAUAUGAACUUUUAAUUAUUUGCAACAUUGCCUUGUGUAUUGAGCAUAUAAAGAUAAUUGUAGAAAUAUUCUUUCGGGUAUUCUUGUCACUAACCUUUCCAGGAUUGGAGCAAGAAGAUCGGAUGAAUGACAAGCACAAGGUAUGUCCAACCAAUCAUCAUGC